rnacentral:rRNA from 1 species
CUUGCUGGAUGCUGACGAGCGGCGGACGGGUGAGUAAUGCAUAGGAAUCUGCCCGAUAGUGGGGGAUAACCUGGGGAAACCCAGGCUAAUACCGCAUACGUCCUACGGGAGAAAGGGGGCUCCGGCUCCCGCUAUGGGAUGAGCCUAUGUCGGAUUAGCUAGUUGGUGAGGUAACGGCUCACCAAGGCCACGAUCCGUAGCUGGUCUGAGAGGAUGAUCAGCCACAUCGGGACUGAGACACGGCCCGAACUCCUACGGGAGGCAGCAGUGGGGAAUAUUGGACAAUGGGGGAAACCCUGAUCCAGCCAUGCCGCGUGUGUGAAGAAGGCCCUCGGGUUGUAAAGCACUUUCAGCGAGGAAGAACGCCUAGCGGUUAAUACCCGCUAGGAAAGACAUCACUCGCAGAAGAAGCACCGGCUAACUCCGUGCCAGCAGCCGCGGUAAUACGGAGGGUGCAAGCGUUAAUCGGAAUUACUGGGCGUAAAGCGCGCGUAGGUGGCUUGAUAAGCCGGUUGUGAAAGCCCCGGGCUCAACCUGGGAACGGCAUCCGGAACUGUCAAGCUAGAGUGCAGGAGAGGAAGGUAGAAUUCCCGGUGUAGCGGUGAAAUGCGUAGAGAUCGGGAGGAAUACCAGUGGCGAAGGCGGCCUUCUGGACUGACACUGACACUGAGGUGCGAAAGCGUGGGUAGCAGACAGGAUUAGAUACCCUGGUAGUCCACGCCGUACACGAUGUCGACCAGCCGUUGGGUGCCUAGCGCACUUUGUGGCGAAGUUAACGCGAUAAGUCGACCGCCUGGGGAGUACGGCCGCAAGGUUAAAACUCACAUGAAUUGACGGGGGCCCGCACAAGCGGUGGAGCAUGUGGUUUAAUUCGAUGC